rnacentral:tRNA from 1 species
UGUAGCGCAGUUUGGUAGCGCACAUGGUUUGGGACCAUGGGGCCGGGGGUUCGAGUCCCUNCGGUAGAGC